AGUGAACGCUGGCGGCAGGCCUAACACAUGCAAGUCGAACGGCAACACAGUAAGAGCUUGCUCUUACGGGUGGCGAGUGGCGGACGGGUGACGAAUACAUCGGAAUCUACUUUUUCGUGGGGGAUAACGUAGGGAAACUUACGCUAAUACCGCAUACGAUCUACGGGUGAAAGCAGUGGAUCUUCGGACCUUUCGCGAUUGAAUGAGCCGAUGUCGGAUUAGCUAGUUGGCGGGGUAAAGGCCCACCAGGGGGACGAUCCGUAGCUGGUCUGAGAGGAUGGUCGGCCACACUGAACCUGAGCCACGGCCCAGACUCCUAGGGAAGGCAGAGGUGGGGAAUAUAGGCAAAUGGGGGCAACCUUGCUCCAGCCAUACAGGGUGGGUGAAGAAGGCCUUCGGGUGGUAAAGCCCUUUUGUUGGGAAAAAAAAGCAGCAGGUUAAUACCCCGCUGUUCGAAGGGAACCAAAAAAAUAGGCACGGGCAAACUCGGU
rnacentral:rRNA from 1 species